rnacentral:rRNA from 1 species
AUUGAACGCUGGCGGCAGGCCUAACACAUGCAAGUCGAGCGAGCGGCGGACGGGUGAGUAAUGUCAGGGAAACUGCCUGAUGGAGGGGGAGAACUACUGGAAACGGUAACUAAUACCGCAUACCAUCAGAUGUGCCCAGAUGGGAUUAGCUAGUAGGUGGGGUAAUGGCUAACCUAGGCGACGAUCCCUAGCUGGUCUGAGAGGAUGACCAGCCAACCUGGAACUGAGACACGGUCCAGACUCCUACGGGAGGCAGCAGUGGGGAAUAUUGCACAAUGGGCGCAAGCCUGAUGCAGCCAUGCCGCGUGUGUGAAGAAGGCCUUCGGGUUGUAAAGUACUUUCAGCGAGGAGGCGUUACUCGCAGAAGAAGCACCGGCUAACUCCGUGCCAGCAGCCGCGGUAAUUC